AUACCCUCCCAUGCUAGCCCGCGAGUCAGCAGCGACAAUGGCACCGUCCUUGAAAAUGAAGGCAAGCGUCGUCGUCCCCUUCGCCGGCUUCACCAUCUGGAUCGCGUCCUUCUGGAAACCAUCGAAAUCGCCGCAGAUUGGGAGAUCGAAGGAUGGGGGCUUCGAGAGAUCGGAGAAGAGAUCGUCUGCUCCGGCGAGGAGUGGGGCGUGAGAUUCAAAGCUGCUUGUAUCGAGCUUCAUUGCCGGAGUGGGUAGGGGAGUCGAA
rnacentral:misc_RNA from 1 species